AAUUUGGACCAACAAAUGAAAAACAGACAAUGUUUAUGGGUAUUUGUGUUAGUAUUCUCUUGGCCACAGAAUAUCCCACUGGGAAUGUUCUGUGUCAUUACUGCCAUUGGCUAGCCUGUUUAAGUUGAUUCUCAACCUCUCUGUCAACCUCAAAAUUUGCUUUUGAUUGUCACAGUUUGCUAGAAAAGCAACUUUUGGUGUUCAAUUAUUUCACACUUUUCUUUAGACUAAUUCUAGUUAAAACAUGUCAGGCCACGACGAUCCCCCAGAAGCAGCCAAGUUGAAAGGUCUGUCUAAACAUUUCAACAGUAUAACCAUAAGAGGACGAGCGAAUGUUGCUCUGGCCACUUAUGUGGGAAUGGCUGCUCUAGGUGUCUAUUUGUACGUGAAGCCUAAGAAGUAAGGGAAGAUGUGAAGCCAUGUAGUUUGUAGCCUUUAAGAAUAAAGUUACGUUUUUAAGUU